rnacentral:lncRNA from 13 species
CUUUUUUUCCUUACCCUUUCUCUUCCAUAGGGGGUGUUACUGUAGAGAAUACUGGUUAGUCUUUUGACUUUGCUACUGUAGCCUAUAUUGUGCUAUGUGGUUCCACCUACAAGCCAGUAGGUGGUGCUUAUUGGUAAGAGCUGGCUGUGGCCAAUGCAAUAGGGUAUACACUUGAUGUUUGUUUUGUGGGUGAAUCCAUCUCUUGCCUUAGGCAAUAGAUUGAUCUGUGGAGUGCACAGUGAUCUGAGCUCCCUGUUCAGCUCCAGGGAUGGGAGGUUGAUGGUGCCCAAGAUGGGUGGAGCUGGACUAAGCAGGUCUGCCUACAGGCUUCUCAUUGGCAGGCAAAAAGACCAGUGCCAAGGAAGAAUCUAGUUGGUGGUCCCAAAGUGUCCAGAGGUGUGCCUAGUCAUGGAGCCGGGAAACCUCCGCAGUCUCAAGUUUGGUGCAUGGGGUUAGGAAGCAUUCUAAACAAUUCAUCCAAGUGAGUGAGACAACAGAUGCCUGGAGAUCUAUCUGGGUGUGGAUUUUAGAGGGUUUCACUUUACCACAAUCACUGUACAGAAAGGCUGGGUGGCUCAGGAUACUGAUCUGGGUAAAUAGGUGCUCUGACUGCCUGAGAAUCUGCCUAGGCUUGUAGUAGAGAGGGCCCAGCUGGAUCAAGACGUCUGCACAGGAAGUAUGGCAACUCAGGCCAUUGAACCAGGUGACUGGAUGCUCCAAAUGCCUGCAGACCUGCCUGAGUAUGAGCAGAGAGGGCCUCCCAGCACCCAGAUCUCUGUACAAGAAGGACAGAGGAACUCAGGCUGCAAUUUGUGCAAACAGAGUCCUACUCUGUUGCCCAGGCUGGAGUGCAGUGUCAUGUCCUCAUGCUUCAGCCUGCCAAGUAGCUAGGAUUACAAGGUAAGCACCACUACUCUUGGGUAAUUUUUGUAUUUUUAGUAGAGAUGAGGUUUUGCCAUGUUGGUCAGGCUAGUCUCCUUUCCUUAAGCGAUCCACCCACCUCAGCCUCUCAAAGUACUGGGAUUGAAGGUGUGAGCCACCACACCAGGCUAUAUUUUAUACUUUAAUUACAAAUUCUAAAGCUAUUUAAACUUUUAUCUUUAAAACAAUUCAAAACUCAUCU